GGAUCCAGACUUUGAUCCUGGCUCAGGACGAACGCUGGCGGCGUGCUUAACACAUGCAAGUCGAACGAGAGGAGAAGGAAGCUUGCUUCUUUCAAAUCUAGUGGCAAACGGGUGAGUAACACGUAAACAACCUGCCUUCAGGAUGGGGACAACAGACGGAAACGACUGCUAAUACCGAAUACGUUCCUUAGGUCGCAUGACUUUAGGAAGAAAGGGUGGCCUCUACUUGUAAGCUAUCGCCUGAAGAGGGGUUUGCGUCUGAUUAGGUAGUUGGUGAGGUAACGGCCCACCAAGCCGACGAUCAGUAGCCGGUCUGAGAGGAUGAACGGCCACACUGGAACUGAGACACGGUCCAGACUCCUACGGGAGGCAGCAGUGGGGAAUCUUCCGCAAUGGGCGAAAGCCUGACGGAGCAACGCCGCGUGAGUGAUGACGGCCUUCGGGUUGUAAAGCUCUGUGAUCGGGGACGAACGGUCAGCAGACGAAUACUCUGCUGAAGUGACGGUACCCGAAUAGCAAGCCACGGCUAACUACGUGCCAGCAGCCGCGGUAAUACGUAGGUGGCAAGCGUUGUCCGGAAUUAUUGGGCGUAAAGCGCGCGCAGGCGGCUUCUUAAGUCCAUCUUAAAAGUGCGGGGCUUAACCCCGUGAUGGGAUGGAAACUGAGAGGCUGGAGUAUCGGAGAGGAAAGUGGAAUUCCUAGUGUAGCGGUGAAAUGCGUAGAGAUUAGGAAGAACACCGGUGGCGAAGGCGACUUUCUGGACGACAACUGACGCUGAGGCGCGAAAGCGUGGGGAGCAAACAGGAUUAGAUACCCUGGUAGUCCACGCUGUAAACGAUGAAUACUAGGUGUAGGAGGUAUCGACCCCUUCUGUGCCGGAGCUAACACAAUAAGUAUUCCGCCUGGGAAGUACGAUCGCAAGAUUACAACUCAAAGGAAUUGACGG
rnacentral:rRNA from 1 species